rnacentral:rRNA from 1 species
CAGCCGCCACGGGAAUACGUAGGUGGCAAGCGUUGUCCGGAAUUAUUGGGCGUAAAGGGCUCGCAGGCGGUUUCUUAAGUCUGAUGUGAAAGCCCCCGGCUCAACCGGGGAGGGUCAUUGGAAACUGGGAAACUUGAGUGCAGAAGAGGAGAGUGGAAUUCCACGUGUAGCGGUGAAAUGCGUAGAGAUGUGGAGGAACACCAGUGGCGAAGGCGACUCUCUGGUCUGUAACUGACGCUGAGGAGCGAAAGCGUGGGGAGCGAACAGGAUUAGAUACCCGGGUAGUCCCUGUCUCUUAUAA